AAGUCGUAACAAGGUUUCCGUAGGUGAACCUGCGGAAGGAUCAUUAACACGUUUCGUUCCGAACGUUUUGACCCAUCCUAUUUUCCGUGCACCCCUCGCGUCCGGCCUCCCAGCCGCCUACCGGGUUUACUCGGUGUGGCCUGUUGGGCGUCUUUGGGAUCCAAGGCAGUUUUGGGAUUUCCUUCGGGAUUUCCUAUCUCUGUCUCCUGAAGGCGUUGCCACCUCACCCAAACCCUUAAAUCUAACUGAUCUGAACUUUUAGUUGACGCGAUGCAGUUUCCUCUCGGGGUGACUAAUUCGUUGCAACGACUUACAAACAAAAAACAACUCUUAACAACGGAUAUCUUGGUUCUC
rnacentral:misc_RNA from 1 species